rnacentral:rRNA from 1 species
AAAACGACUCUCGGCAACGGAUAUCUCGGCUCUCGCAUCGGUGAAGAACGUAGCGAAAUGCGAUACUUGGUGUGAAUUGCAGAAUCCCGUGAACCAUCGAGUCUUUGAACGCAAGUUGCGCCCCAAGCCAUUAGGCCGAGGGCACGUCUGCAUGGGUGUCACGC